AGGGGAGACCUAAUUCAGGUAGGAGACGAAAAAAAAGUAGUCGCUACCAAGAAUCAAUCCCAAAAGGUCGGAGCGAGGCGAAAUUGGCUUUCAAACUAGGUUCUGGGUUCACACAAGACCUGAAUCAGGAACAAGGGCUAUUAGCUCAGGUGGUUAGAGCGCACCCCUGAUAAGGGUGAGGUCCCUGGUUCGAGUCCAGGAUGGCCCACCUGUACAGGUGGCAAAAAGAAAGAAAAGAAGCGAGGAAUCAGCACCUUAUCUUACUGACAUAGUAAGAGAGAAUGCUGGCUCUGAGUAAAGAGUCCAGAGGAACCUUGAAAACUGCAUAGAGCUAGGUGAAAAAGCCAAAAAGGAAGACCGCAA
rnacentral:tRNA from 1 species